rnacentral:lncRNA from 1 species
CUUUCUCGGCAGCGCCAUAGAGCGCGAGCAGACGGUGCUGCAUGGCGCACAGCGGAGGCCGCGGGCGGCCGAACCCGGCGUGUCUUUGGGCUCUUCCAGGUGCAACAAAACCUGUCUCAUUUGAAGGUGCUUGAACAAAUAUUUUCUAAACACUUGUCAUGGAGAGUGAUUGAAACAAGCUGCCAAGACUACAUUUGCCAAUAACAAGCAUGUAGGUGGCUGUAGUGGAUGUCCAACUUUGGGAGCUGUGAUGUCUAAAAACCCUUUAUUGUUUUGGGUGCAGCUUACAUAUUGGAAGGUAAAAUGAAGACCAUGAACAAAGUCAAGAAGCCAUAAACAGAAGCAAAUUGUGAAAAUACCUAAUUUAAUAUUAAUAAGUUAUAUAUAAAUAAACAGUUAUUCUUAAUUGCUGUGGGCAGUAAUUUCUUUAAAAUGUCAUUCUCGUAGUAAAAUAAACUCUUUCAUGA